rnacentral:lncRNA from 1 species
CGUACGCCCCGGAUCGUUUCGACGAACUUCGUAAUUCAAAAGUGCGACGGAAUAUUUGACGAGUGAAGUGUGAUUGUGUUCUUGUGUUUUUUGAAUAUCGCCAUCUGGAAUCUCGAAUGAUUUGAAUUCACUGUCAAAUUUGAUUGUUCUAAGGCCACAAUAAAAUAUUACUAACAGGUCGACUUAAAUUUGAUCGGAUCAUGAAAACUUUGGUGCCAGCAAUAAAAGUUUCACGGACAGCGUUAUAAAUGGGCCGGUGAUAAUUACAAAACGCAGAGUUCUAUGCUCGACACGCAAAUACUCCUAUAGUCUGCCGAUGUUUACUCUCAGAGCGUUAUCACUCGAUAAGUUAGAUCACAAGCCGCCUGCAAACAUUCUUAUCAUGCUAACAUUCUUACUGAAGUCAUUGAGGCACUACGCAGACUCCACCACGGGGAAGCGAGACGCGCAAAACACUUGAGAUUCUAGAUUUUAAGCGUCCAGUGAUGGCCGAACUGAUAUUUAUGAGAUAAGUGAGAGUGUGAAAGUGAAAAGUGAACAAACCAAAGAAUAUACCAAAGCUACGAGCUAGUUUCCUGUGGCGGUGUUAUAGAUAGUCGUCAAACUGGAGGAUUUACAGACUUUCGAUGGUACAGAAGGGUCUGCGGUCAACGAUACUGUUCAAAGGGUCAAUUGCGAGUUUAAGAACC